rnacentral:lncRNA from 1 species
UCCAGGCCUUCUUCCCGCUGGGCCGCAUCUCGCUGAUGGUCUACGGCGGGCUGGCGGCGCUCGUCUUCUGCGGCUACAUCAUCUACGACACCGACAACCUCAUCAAGCGCUACUCCUACGACGAGUACGUCUGGGCCGCCGUCGCGCUCUACCUCGACGUCAUCAACCUCUUCCUCUCCCUGCUCACCCUCUUCAGGGCAUCCGAUUCCUGAAGUGCCUGCGUCUCCUGCCAUAGCGUAGCGUAGCCCCUCCUCCUAAAGUCCUACCCUACCCCUGUAAUCCUGUCCCUGCCGUUACAUCACGAAUGUGCUUUCCCUUAUGUGUGGAACAAUUUAUUGUAAAUUAAUUUUGACUUGUUUUACGUAAUACUAAGAAGACUAGGC